UAACCACAGGGUUGACACUACUAAAUUGUCAAAUUGUUACCUAUUGUAGUAUUUUAAUCAGUAAGACUUUCUAAGAUAACAAUACGAAUACUAAAAAUCUGGACUAAAAAUAAGGCGUAUAGGUACAAUUUUCAAUUUGUUAGUGGGCAUGACGUAAAACAGCAAAGCAAAGAAUUCAACUUUAUUUAUAACUUAUAUAGGACAAUGCUGUUGAUUAAAAAAUACUCCAUUCCAGGACCUUUUGUUUUCAAAAUAAUUAAUAUUACCAAUAACUGAUAAGUUCCAGUUCAACGGGUUCAAACAGAAAGACUUAAUUGAAAGCAGAGAAAAACUGUGUAUCUUAUAAUCGACAUGACUUUAUCAGAUGACAAUACUAAUACUAAAAUAAGGCUUGCGCAUAGUUGUAUACUUUAAUUUAGUCACGGACCCGUGAUAUCACGGGUGUGUUCUAGUA
rnacentral:lncRNA from 1 species